rnacentral:pre_miRNA from 1 species
UAGGGUGACCAGCUGUCCCGGUUUGCCUGGGCCUGAGAAGUUUCCCAGGAUGUGGGACUUUCAGUGCUAAAACUUGUCAGGUUCCAGGCAAACUGGGACAAGCUGGUUACCCUAGUGUAAU